GUUCUUGUUGGGAGCACAUAAGCACAUAUACUAAAAUUGGAACAAUACAGAGAAGAUUAGCAAGGCCUCUGAGCAAGGAUGACAUGUAAAUUCAUGAAGCAUUCCAUAUUUUU
rnacentral:snRNA from 1 species